rnacentral:lncRNA from 10 species
UCCACCCUCCUUGGGCUCCCAAAGUGCUGGGAUUACAGGCAUGAGCCACCGUGCCCAGCCCUACUUGAACUUUUUAUGAUUAGAAUGAAUUCAAGUUUUAUUUGUGUGCUUAGAAAAAGGUAAGUGAGGCAGAGAGCAUGUACUCUGUAAGUUUACACGAGAUGGAGAUCCCUUCCAGCUUGGGAUACCUGAAAAGACUUCAUGGACCAAUGAUAGUUGAGCUAGACUUUGAAUGAUAGGGAGGAUUUGAAAGUUCAGGGUACAGAAUGAAUAUAGAAGGCAGGAAAUGGAACAGGAUAGGACAGGGAGAAACCAGUGUGAAUGGAGCUGAGGUCUUAAUCUAGGCCUUGAAAUCAGCCCCAAGCCCAGCUCUACUGUGUACUAACUGUGUAAACUUGAGCCAGAUACUGACUCUCUAAGCCUCAGUUUACUCAUCUGUAAAAUGUAGAUAAUAAUAUCUAGCUCAUAGAUAAAAGAAUAAUAACAUCUCAUAGGGUGGUGGUGGGAAUUAAAUGUUACCAUAUGAAAAGUGUUGAGAACAGUGCUAACAAAGCAAUAGCUGCAUUUUGGACAUGUUGGGUUUACGAUACCAAGCAGCACAUUUAUGUGCCAGGAAAUGUGGAACUGGAGACCAAGAGAGUGGUCAGGGAACCAUGCACACAGACACGGUAAUUACAGCAGCCAUGCUGUUGGAUGGGAUUGUCAAAAAAAGAGUGUGGAGAGAGAAGAGAGAGGGGCUGUAAGAGUUUGGGUAGGUUGGCUGGGCGCGGUGGCUCACGCCUGUAAUCCCAGCACUUUGAGAGGCAGAGGCAGGCGGAUCACGA